CAAAAAGUAGUUUAAAUUAAAAUGCUAGUUUUGGGGACUAGAGAUGGGUGUUCUCUUUUUGA
rnacentral:tRNA from 1 species